GAGUGUUUCUCUCGUUUCUUACGUACUCGUGUCGCGUGUGAAUUAUUUCUCGAUUUUGUUUGAUUGUUUAUUGAAAUUUGCUUUUAUGUUAUAUGCAAGUGAUCGUGAAACGUUUAGAAGAGACAGAAGAGUUAACUGGUAGUUCUGCAACUUCGAAAUCUUGCUGAAUACGAAAUUUGGUCGCGCUAGCCAACUGUUGAAUAGGUAUCCCAAAUUCAGUGGAACUGAAAUUUCGAAGUACCGGAAAGAAGAUGAUUAUUUGAAGAGUAAAGCGUGAAUCUAUACAAAAGCUAUUACCGCCACCGCCGGCCGGUGAUAUUCUGCUUACGUGACUUGAUUGAUCUACAUUUUCCACCGAAACGCAGACAAAUGCUCGCAAGAUUUUCCAGUCCAAAUACCGCUGAGCUAUUGACUAUCGAUUAUAAUUUAACGACAGAAAUUCCGAACUAAUGAAUGCAUCGAUUCGAGUCAAUCACUCAAUUUUUCUUCAAGUUACGUAUCCUGCGUUGAAAUUGAAAUGACACACGUAAAUGAAGAAGUUUUAAUUGUUCGUGAACGUGGAUUUCGUUUUGCCGGAAACUAGUUACCAUUAUGCUAUACAUGGAAAUACUUGUUCGAAGAAAUGGCUAUGAUGAGUGACGAGUUAUUGCAUGUACCAGGUGUAAGUCGUAUAUGAUACAAAAUCCAUAUAAUUGAGAAGAAAAAAUGCUCAGCUCUACUUUGGGAAGAUGGAAACCGAAAUUGAUUUUACGACAAUGGAAACUAUCUGCGCCUGUAUUCCUCUACUUGAACUCGUCGCCUAUCUAUGGUAUCAAGGAACGAGCCUGCACUUACACGAUCCAACAAAAAUUAGACGAGCAUAUAAAUGAAAAUCUAGCAACGAAGCAUCAUCCGCUGCGCACAACAUUCUUCGAGAUGGAAAAAACCGCUAAAAAUGUAUUUGCAAAAAAUGAAGAGAAGCGAAAGAAGAAUCAACAAAGACAGCGAAAAAAGCUGAAAAGAAACGGGGCACGAAAAAGACCAAAAAGAAAGAAAGCAUCGCAGAAAACCCGUGGAUAAAAAGGCGAAAAGCUUAUUUUUUGGAUUCUACGGAAGUCAGAAAAUGCAUCACUGAUUCGCUGUCAUGACAAUGAAAGAUACCGCAAAAUUCCGUCGAUUUACCAACAUCUCAGCGACAAUUGUUCCAUAAACCUGGCUGAGAUCAACUACUAAUACCAUAGCGUUUGUCGCGUUUGAAUACAACGAGGGUUUGAAUUUACCGCAGAGUAUAAUAGCGUAUUUUUCGAAACACCCUACGCAGAUUUAAGGUAAGAGAUAGCGGUAUUUGUAUUUUUAUACCUAAGCCGAGUUAUAUAUUUAUUUUAAAGCGCGAUAUCAUAAUAUCGUAUACUUUAUACAAUACACGUAUAAGUAUCGAGAGUAUGAAACACCCUAUUUUGAAAAAACAAAAAAAGAAACAAAACAAAAAAACUAUAAAAGCAGAAAUAAAAAUAGAAAGAAAAAUAUCUACCGAAAGAAAAAAAGAAGAAGAAGAAAAAGCGCAAAAAAUAAAGGGAAAUAAAAAGAUGGAAAGAAAGGAAUAAACGAAUGGAAAGGCAGCAGCUCGCGGAUAAGGUUGAGAAACACCAUCAGCAGAAAUUUAUCGAUAGCAAUAUGCAAAAUGACUGAAAAAACGAUAUCAAUAAAGGAUAAAUAAAAUGAUGAUAUUCCGUUUACUCUUUUUGAAUUUGCGGGGUAAAACGCGAUAACGAUAAAACGAAUUUAACAAAUAGCGUUUUAAAGGAAAAUCGCAGGAAAAAUAUACGACGAUUCGGUUUUGUUUUUCUGUUGCUUUUUUCUCUCGCGCGUUUUUUUCUCCUUCUUCUUCCUCGGUGCUUUUGGUUCAUCUAUAUCGUCCGCCCUUUUGUAUGUUGUAUGUAUUUUUUUCCCCGCACUUAUUCGCAUAUAUUAUACAUUUAUUCGAAUGUGAGCAGGUGAAUAAUACGUGUAGGCUUAUGCGUGAAAGUAAAUUGGUAUAGUUGUGGAAAAUUUUCAAUCCCCCCCCCCUCCUCAAUAGUUGGAUGAGAAAAGGAUGAUUGCUCGAAAAAUUUGUCGUUCAACCUACGUUAUUGAUUUAGUAUAUUGACGAUUUGGGGAUGAAAAAGUAUCGAAGUGGGGCAUCUAUUUUUGCCAAUUUUUAAUACGAAUUGAACAUCGUUGUUAAACAUGUUGUGCUUGUGCGUGUACAAGAAGUACACGAUUUGCGAUUACUGUACAGUGUACAGUGUAUAGCCAAUAGCCAUCGCCACC